AAGUCGUAACAGGAUUUCUGUAGGUGAACCUGCAGAAGGAUCAUUAAUGUGAUGGAUGUGCUAGUCUUGACUUCUCAAUCCUCCUUUGAAUGUUCUCAUUGCUUAGGUGGGGGCCUAACGGCUCGAGGAGAAAGGAAAUAAGAGCUCGUUCGGGCAUGCACUCCGAUACAAUCCAAUUUUCUUUAUACCUUGUGCAUCUUGGCCUGCUGAACAAGCAAAGGAUGUCAAAAUGAUAUUCUUGAUUGUUUUAUGUAGGAUGUUUUUGUCACAAUUUUUAAAGAAUGUCUUAUUAGCUUAAAA
rnacentral:misc_RNA from 1 species